rnacentral:rRNA from 1 species
UGGCUCAGGCUGGGACACCUCCUUACAUGUUGACUGAGGUUCGCGGCGGACGGGUGAGUUACACGUGGGUAACCUGCCUGUAAGACUGGGAUAACUCCGGGAAACCGGGGCUAAUACCGGAUGCUUGAUUGAACCGCAUGGUUCAAUUAUAAAAGGUGGCUUUUAGCUACCACUUACAGAUGGACCCGCGGCGCAUUAGCUAGUUGGUGAGGUAACGGCUCACCAAGGCAACGAUGCGUAGCCGACCUGAGAGGGUGAUCGGCCACACUGGGACUGAGACACGGCCCAGACUCCUACGGGAGGCAGCAGUAGGGAAUCUUCCGCAAUGGACGAAAGUCUGACGGAGCAACGCCGCGUGAGUGAUGAAGGUUUUCGGAUCGUAAAACUCUGUUGUUAGGGAAGAACAAGUACCGUUCGAAUAGGGCGGUACCUUGACGGUACCUAACCAGAAAGCCACGGCUAACUACGUGCCAGCAGCCGCGGUAAUACGUAGGUGGCAAGCGUUGUCCGGAAUUAUUGGGCGUAAAGCGCGCGCAGGCGGUUUCUUAAGUCUGAUGUGAAAGCCCCCGGCUCAACCGGGGAGGGUCAUUGGAAACUGGGGAACUUGAGUGCAGAAGAGGAGAGUGGAAUUCCACGUGUAGCGGUGAAAUGCGUAGAGAUGUGGAGGAACACCAGUGGCGAAGGCGACUCUCUGGUCUGUAACUGACGCUGAGGCGCGAAAGCGUGGGGAGCGAACAGGAUUAGAUACCCUGGUAGUCCACGCCGUAAACGAUGAGUGCUAAGUGUUAGAGGGUUUCCGCCCUUUAGUGCUGCAGCAAACGCAUUAAGCACUCCGCCUGGGGAGUACGGUCGCAAGACUGAAACUCAAAGGAAUUGACGGGGGCCCGCACANCNGUGGAGCAUGUGGUUUAAUUCGAAGCAACGCGAAGAACCUUACCAGGUCUUGACAUCCUCUGACNACCCUAGANGAUAG